rnacentral:rRNA from 1 species
UACGGAGGGAGCUAGCGUUGUUCGGAAUUACCGGGCGUAAAGCGCACGUAGGCGGCUUUGUAAGUUAGAGGUGAAAGCCCGGGGCUCAACCCCGGAAUUGCCUUUAAGACUGCAUCGCUUGAAUCCGGGAGAGGUGAGUGGAAUUCCGAGUGUAGAGGUGAAAUUCGUAGAUAUUCGGAAGAACACCAGUGGCGAAGGCGGCUCACUGGACCGGUAUUGACGCUGAGGUGCGAAAGCGUGGGGAGCAAACAGG